AGCAGCCGCGGUAAUUCCAGCUCCAAUAGCGUAUAUUAAAGUUGUUGCAGUUAAAAAGCUCGUAGUUGAAUUUCGGGGUUAGCAAGUUGGUCGUGCCUUCGGUAUGUACUGGCCUUGCUGAUUCCUCCUUCUUGAAGAACUGUGAUGCUAUUAAUUUGGUGUUGCAGGGAAACAGGACUGUUACUUUGAAAAAAUUAGAGUGUUUAAAGCAGGCUAACGCUUGAAUACAUUAGCAUGGAAUAAUGAAAUAGGACGUUUGAUCCUAUUUUGUUGGUUUCUAGGAUUGACGUAAUGAUUAAUAGGGAUAGUUGGGGGCAUUAGUAUUCAAUUGUCAGAGGUGAAAUUCUUGGAUUUAUUGAAGACUAACUACUGCGAAAGCAUUUGCCAAGGAUGUUUUCAUUAAUCAAGAACGAAAGUUAGGGGAUCGAAGACGAUCAGAUACCGUCGUAG
rnacentral:rRNA from 1 species